CAUAUCCUCAUGUGCCAAUUUCUAAAUACAAAAGCUACACUCUCAAUCUCUUAUCUACACAAAAACAGAUAUCAACAAUCUCACACCAAAGUGUUUGAUUCACAAUUGCAACCAAAAUACAAACAAUUAAAAUAUAUAAGUAUUCUUUCAAAAUUUCAAGGUGAACUUCUGCAAAUGCAUAUACAGUAUAUUAUUUAAACUAGAGAAGCCUCCUCCUGAAGUUUCUUGUAGUUGAUUGAUAAGUACGAACGAGAAGACCGGCACCAAUGCCAAGACCAACACAGACGCCAAGUCCAAU
rfam:Brassica napus, WGS project CCCW01000000 data, contig: 2639